AUCUAAAUCUUUUAUGGAGGAGCUUCGUCGAGAGCGCCUCCAGUUGUCCUCUUUACCGCGGGAGCGGGCUUACUCUGAUGGGAACCGUCCUCCCGACCGCCGUCCAUCCCGACCUUCCGGCUCUCGAUUUCAGUGGGAUGAGCGUGGGCGUCCCAUCUGCAACGGCUGUGGAGAGCCGGGACAUUACUUCCGUCAGUGUCCUGCUCGACGUGCAUCGCAAGGGGGUUUUUAGAGUUUCCGGCCACUGUGGGUCAAGUGGUCGGGACCCCCUUAUCAGACCCCUCUCUGCCUACAACUUCUAGGAGCCGCCUGGUGGGCUGUUGCCCAGUGGUGGUGGUUCAGGUCAAUGACCAGAAAGUGCAGUGCCUCUUGGAUACAGGCUCCCAAGUGACCCUAUUCACCGAAAGCUUGGCCCAUGAGUUGUUUGGCACCGAAGGUCGUCCACCUGCGGAAGCCCCCUGGUUGACGCUACGUGGGGCGAAUGGUCUCGACAUCCCGUAUGUGGGAUACCUUGUGACUGAUCUAAAGAUUCAGGGAGUAGUGGUGCCACAGAAAGGAGUGGUGGUCGUACGAGACACAUGCCUGGGGUCUCAUCGUGCCCUGAUUGGGAUGAACGUCAUUUCGGACUGUUGGGAGGAGCUGUUCCGAAGUAGACCGGCUCGAACAGCUGCAACAUCAGCCGGGCAGGAGUGGGACCGCAUCAGGGCCGACUGCCGUCGAGUAUGUCUGGCUGAACAACAGGGGGAUCGGGAAAGCACGGGAAGAGUAGCCUGCCGUUACGCCUUGUCCAUUCCAGCUCAGAGUGAGGCUUUGGUCGGGGUCAGGUUGCCUCCUCGACUUUAUAGUCCGGAAGAUUGGGUCAUGGUGGAACCCCAUGAAGAUGGUCCCAAGGUGGAAGUUGCUCGAGGAUUGGCGACUGUUCAGGGGGGCCGGGUCUCAGUGCGAGUCAGGAACAUGAAUCCCUUCCCUGUUCACUUGUAUCGUCACCAGCGUUUGGCCCG
ensembl:lncRNA